AGUGAACGCUGGCGGUAGGCCUAACACAUGCAAGUCGAACGGCAGCACAGUAAGAGCUUGCUCUUACGGGUGGCGAGUGGCGGACGGGUGAGGAAUACAUCGGAAUCUACUUUUUCGUGGGGGAUAACGUAGGGAAACUUACGCUAAUACCGCAUACGACCUACGGGUGAAAGCAUGGGAUCUUCGGACCUUGCGCGAUUGACUGAGCCGAUGUCGGAUUAGCUAGUUGGCGGGGUAAAGGCCCACCAAGGCGACGAUCCGUAGCUGGUCUGAGAGGAUGAUCAGCCACACUGGAACUGAGACACGGUCCAGACUCCUACGGGAGGCAGCAGUGGGGAAUAUUGGACAAUGGGCGCAAGCCUGAUCCAGCCAUACCGCGUGGGUGAAGAAGGCCUUCGGGUUGUAAAGCCCUUUUGUUGGGAAAGAAAAGCAGCAGGUUAAUACCCCGCUGUUCUGACGGUACCCAAAGAAUAAGCACCGGCUAACUUCGUG
rnacentral:rRNA from 1 species